GACGAACGCUGGCGGCGUGCUUAACACAUGCAAGUCGAACGGAAAGGCCCUGCUUUUGUUGGGUGCUCGAGUGGCGAACGGGUGAGUAACACGUGAGUAACCUGCCCUUGACUUUGGGAUAACUUCAGGAAACUGGGGCUCAUACCGCAUAUGAUCUCCUGCUGCAUGGUGGGGGUUGGAAAGUUUCGGCGGUUGGGGAUGGACUCGCGGCUUAUCAGCUUGUUGGUGGGGUAGUUGCUUACCAAGGUUUUGACGGGUAGCCGGCCUGAGAGGGUGACCGGCCACAUUGGGACUGAGAUACGGACCAGAAUGCUACGGGAGGCAGCAGGGGGGAAUAUUGCAGAAUGGGCGGAAGCCUGAUGCAGCAACGCCGCGUGCGGGAUGACGGGCUUCGGGUUGUAAACCGCUGUCGACUGUGACGAAGAGUGAGUGACGGUAAUGGGUAAAGAAGCACCGGCUAACUACGUG
rnacentral:rRNA from 1 species